UAAGCAUAUCAAUAAGCGGAGGAAAAGAAACUAACAAGGAUUCCCCUAGUAACUGCGAGUGAAGCGGGAAAAGCUCAAAUUUAAAAUCUGGCGGUCUUUGGCCGUCCGAGUUGUAGUCUGGAGAAGUGCUUUCCGCGCUGGACCGUGUAUAAGUCUCUUGGAACAGAGCGUCAUAGAGGGUGAGAAUCCCGUCUUUGACACGGACUACCAGUGCUUUGUGAUGCGCUCUCAAAGAGUCGAGUUGUUUGGGAAUGCAGCUCAAAAUGGGUGGUGAAUUCCAUCUAAAGCUAAAUAUUGGCGAGAGACCGAUAGCGAACAAGUACCGUGAGGGAAAGAUGAAAAGCACUUUGGAAAGAGAGUUAAACAGUACGUGAAAUUGCUGAAAGGGAAACGCUUGAAGUCAGUCGCGUUGUCCGGAACUCAGCCUUGCUUUCGCUUGGUGCACUUUCCGGAUGACGGGUCAGCAUCGAUUUUGACCGUCGGAAAAGGGCUGGAGUAAUGUGGCACCUCCGGGUGUGUUAUAGACUCUGGUCGCAUACGACGGCUGGGAUCGAGGAACGCAGCGCGCCGCAAGGCAGGGGUUCGCCCACUUUCGCGCUUAGGAUGCUGGCAUAAUGGCUUUAAACGACCCGUCUUGAAACACGGACCAAGGAGUCUAACAUACCUGCGAGUGUUUGGGUGGAAAACCCGAGCGCGUAAUGAAAGUGAAAGUUGAGAUCCCUGUCGUGGGGAGCAUCGACGCCCGGACCUGACGUUCUCUGACGGAUCCGCGGUAGAGCAUGUAUGUUGGGACCCGAAAGAUGGUGAACUAUGCCUGAAUAGGGUGAAGCCAGAGGAAACUCUGGUGGAGGCUCGUAGCGAUUCUGACGUGCAAAUCGAUCGUCAAAUUUGGGUAUAGGGGCGAAAGACUAAUCGAACCAUC
rnacentral:rRNA from 1 species